rnacentral:rRNA from 1 species
AUUGAACGCUGGCGGCAGGCCUAACACAUGCAAGUCGAACGAGUGGCGGACGGGUGAGUAAUGUCUGGGAAACUGCCCGAUGGAGGGGGAUAACAACUGGAAACGGUAGCUAAUACCGCAUACCAUCGGAUGUGCCCAGAUGGGAUUAGCUAGUAGGUGGGGUAAUGGCACACCUAGGCGACGAACCCUAGCUGGGCUGAGAGGAUGACCGGCCGCACUGGAACUGAGACACGGUCCAGACUCCUACGGGAUGCAGCAGUGGGGAAUAUUGCACAGUGGUCGCGAGCCUGAUGCAGCCAGGCCGCGUGUAUGAAGAAGGCCUUCGGGUUGUGAAGUACUUUCAGCGGGGGGGCGUUACUCGCAGAAGAAGCACCGGCUAACUCCGUGCCAGCAGCCGCGGUAAUUC